rnacentral:rRNA from 1 species
UACAGGGGGGGCAAGCGUUGUUCGGAAUUACUGGGCGUAAAGGGCGCGUAGGCGGCCUUCUAAGUCGAACGUGAAAUCCCCGGGCUCAACCCGGGAACUGCGUCCGAUACUGGGAGGCUUGAAUCCGGGAGAGGGAUGUGGAAUUCCAGGUGUAGCGGUGAAAUGCGUAGAUAUCUGGAGGAACACCGGUGGCGAAGGCGGCAUCCUGGACCGGUAUUGACGCUGAGGCGCGAAAGCCAGGGGAGCAAACGGG